rnacentral:rRNA from 1 species
GAGCGGAAAGGCCCUUCGGGGUACUCGAGCGGCGAACGGGUGAGUAACACGUGAGCAAUCUGCCCUUAGCUUCGGGAUAGCUCCGGGAAACCGGAAUUAAUACCGGAUAUUACCUAGGCCGACAUCGGCCGUGGUGGAAAGAUUUAUCGGCUAAGGAUGAGCUCGCGGCCUAUCAGCUUGUUGGUGGGGUAACGGCCUACCAAGGCGACGACGGGUAGCCGGCCUGAGAGGGCGACCGGCCACACUGGGACUGAGACACGGCCCAGACUCCUACGGGAGGCAGCAGUGAGGAGUUUUCGGCAAUGGGCGCAAGCCUGACCGAGCAACGCCGCGUGCAGGAGGAAGGUCUUCGGAUCGUAAACUGCUUUUCUCGGGGAAGAGCUACGGACGGUACCCGAGGAAGAAGCCCCGGCUGACUACGUG